GUGCUAGCUUUGGUAGCACAUAGACUAAAAUUGGAACAAUGCAAAGAAGAUUAGCAUGGUCCCUGCACAAGGAUGACAUGCAAAUUUUUGAAGUGUUCCAUAUUUUU
ensembl:snRNA U6 U6 spliceosomal RNA